GGGGAUUUAGCUCAGCGUCAUAAGCGCCUGCCUUUGAAGCAGGCAGUCCUGGGUUCAAUCCCCG
rfam:Cavia porcellus supercont2_14 genomic scaffold, whole genome shotgun sequence.